UACGAAGGGGGCUAGCGUUGCUCGGAAUCACUGGGCGUAAAGGGUGCGUAGGUGGCGCUGUAAGUCGGGUGUGAAAUUUCGGAGCUUAACUCCGAAACUGCAUUCGAUACUGCGGUGCUUGAGGACUGGAGAGGAGACUGGAAUUCAUGGUGUAGCAGUGAAAUGCGUAGAGAUCAUGAGGAAGACCAGUGGCGAAGGCGGGUCUCUGGACAGUUCCUGACACUGAGGCACGAAGGCCAGGGGAGCAAACAGG
rnacentral:rRNA from 1 species